AGUGAACGCUGGCGGUAGGCCUAACACAUGCAAGUCGAACGGCAGCACAGUAAGAGCUUGCUCUUACGGGUGGCGAGUGGCGGACGGGUGAGGAAUACAUCGGAAUCUACUUUUUCGUGGGGGAUAACGUAGGGAAACUUACGCUAAUACCGCAUACGACCUACGGGUGAAAGCAGGGGAUCUUCGGACCUUGCGCGAUUGAAUGAGCCGAUGUCGGAUUAGCUAGUUGGCGAGGUAAAGGCCCACCAAGGCGACGAUCCGUAGCUGGUCUGAGAGGAUGAUCAGCCACACUGGAACUGAGACACGGUCCAGACUCCUACGGGAGGCAGCAGUGGGGAAUAUUGGACAAUGGGCGCAAGCCUGAUCCAGCCAUACCGCGUGAGUGAAGAAGGCCUUCGGGUUGUAAAGCCCUUUUGUUGGGAAAGAAAAGCAGCAGGUUAAUACCCCGCUGUUCUGACGGUACCCAAAGAAUAAGCACCGGCUAACUUCGUG
rnacentral:rRNA from 1 species